CAUCAACAGGCUCUCUUUCCAGGUAAUGUUCUACCAUGCUGCAGCAUUUUUCGUUUAAUCGUGGUACUUAUUUUGGGCUGAUUUUUUAGGAAUAUAUACCGUAAUCCUAAUUGCAAGGUAUAGAUUUGCAACUUGGAUGUGGCUUCGUAUGGCCUGGGCACUUUCUAGCUAUUGAAGCAGUAGUCCCAUCCUUGUGAUGGGGGAUCCAAGCCCCACACCUUGUGAUUGAAAUCAUGUUCCCAUGCCACCUCACUCCGAUUUCUUUGGCUUCUCCAAUUUAAUUACUGUUUCCUUUUGUGUCUUCAUGAAUUUCAUCUGAGUUUUCAUGAAUUUCAUCUGAGUUUUCAUCUGCCACUAGUUUCUGGUUUCUCUUUUUGGCUAAAUCAGGUGGGUUUGUACUAAGUUUAGUUUUUCGCCUUCUGAUUUUCACAGGCUCAGCAGGAUAUCUCUUCCCUUAAGAACAUCGCGGGAGAGACUGGAAAGAAUAAGUUCCUUUGCGUCCUCCUUCAUAAAUGAUCUCCAAGACAGAGUCCUCUAAUUUGCAGGUCCUCUUGGUCCCGGAGAAGUGAAGUCCGACCCAUCAUCGCCCGAUUAUGUAAUGGAUGUGAAGGAGAGCUUUUAAGAAAUUCUUUUCAGGAGACAAAUAAAGAAUUUACUUUGAUCUAAGACAGUUUGAGAGUAUUUUGUAGCACAGGUAUUGCCUUAAAGAAUGAUAUGUCGCCUUUUUGUCAGUUACACAACUGAGCUUUUUGUCGAGCCUCAUACUAUUGUGCAUUGGCUUGAUAACAAGUUUCUGAUAAAGCAUUGCCCAUAGGUAGCGAUUUGCUCAAUUGCUUUGUGUGUAAAAGUGAUGGUUUUUUGG
rnacentral:lncRNA from 1 species